GCUACAGGCUUAACACAUGCAAGUCGAGGGGAAACGAUAUGAAGACUUGCUUCUUUAGGCGUCGACCGGCGAAUGGGUGAGUAACGCGUAUCCAACCUGCCCUGAGUAAGGGAUAGCCCAUCGAAAGAUGGAUUAAUACCUUAUGGUUUCCUUUGAAGGCAUCAGAUUAGGAAUAAAGAUUUAUCGCUGAGGGAUGGGGAUGCGUCUGAUUAGCUUGUUGGCGGGGUAACGGCCCACCAAGGCGACGAUCAGUAGGGGUUCUGAGAGGAAGGUCCCCCACAUUGGUACUGAGACACGGACCAAACUCCUACGGGAGGCAGCAGUGAGGAAUAUUGGUCAAUGGGCGCAAGCCUGAACCAGCCAAGUAGCGUGCCAGGAUGACUGCCCUAUGGGUUGUAAACUGCUUUUAUACGGGGAUAAAGUCAGGGUCGUGACCCUGUUUGCAGGUACCGUAUGAAUAAGGACCGGCUAAUUCCGUGCCAGCAGCAGC
rnacentral:rRNA from 1 species